ACGAAGGGGGCUAGCGUUGUUCGGAUUUACUGGGCGUAAAGCGCGUGUAGGCGGCCUCGCAAGUCGGGCGUGAGAUCCCACGGCUCAACCGUGGAAGUGCACUCGAAACUGCGAAGCUGGAGUCCUGGAGAGGAAGGUGGAAUGCUUGGUGUAGAGGUGAAAUUCGUAGAUAUCAAGCGGAACACCGGUGGCGAAGGCGACCUUCUGGACAGUGACUGACGCUGAGACGCGAAAGCGUGGGGAGCAAACAGGA
rnacentral:rRNA from 1 species